rnacentral:rRNA from 1 species
GAUGAACGCUGGCGGCGUGCCUAAUACAUGCAAGUCGAACGAACAGAUAAUGAGCUUGCUCCUCUACCGUUAGCGGCUGACGGGUGAGUAACGCGUGGAUAACCUACCUAUAAUACUGGGAUAACUUCGGGAAACCGGAGCUGAUACCGGAGAAUAUGUUGAACCGCAUGGUUCAAUAGUUAAAGACGGUUUUGCUGUCUCUUUUAGACGGAUCCGCGCCGCAUUAGCUAGUUGGUAAGGUAACGGCCUACCAAGGCAACGAUGCGUAGCCGACCUGAGAGGAUGAUCAGCCACACUGGAACUGAGACACGGUCCAGACUCCUACGGGAGGCAGCAGUAGGGAAUCUUGCGCAAUGGGCGCAAGCCUGACGCAGCAACGCCGCGUGAGUGAUGAAGGUCUUCGGAUCGUAAAGCUCUGUUAUUAGGAAAGAAAAAAAGCGGAAGAAAACAUGGACGUCUUGACGGUACCUAAACAGAAAGCAACGGCUAACUACGUG